rnacentral:tRNA from 1 species
GGCCUCGUUGUCUAGUGGUAUGAUUCUCGCUUCGGGUGCGAGAGGUCCUGGGUUCAAUUCCCGGUGAGGCCC